rnacentral:rRNA from 1 species
AUUGAACGCUAGCGGGAUGCCUUACACAUGCAAGUCGAACGGCAGCACGGACUUCGGUCUGGUGGCGAGUGGCGAACGGGUGAGUAAUGUAUCGGAACGUGCCCAGUAGCGGGGGAUAACUACGCGAAAGCGUAGCUAAUACCGCAUACGCCCUACGGGGGAAAGCAGGGGAUCGCAAGACCUUGCACUAUUGGAGCGGCCGAUAUCGGAUUAGCUAGUUGGUGGGGUAACGGCUCGCCAAGGCGACGAUCCGUAGCUGGUUUGAGAGGACGACCAGCCACACUGGGACUGAGACACGGCCCAGACUCCUACGGGAGGCAGCAGUGGGGAAUUUUGGACAAUGGGGGAAACCCUGAUCCAGCCAUCCCGCGUGUGCGAUGAAGGCCUUCGGGUUGUAAAGCACUUUUGGCAGGAAAGAAACGUCGCGGGUUAAUACCUCGCGAAACUGACGGUACCUGCAGAAUAAGCACCGGCUAACUACGUG